GACGAACGCUGGCGGCGUGCUUAACACAUGCAAGUCGAACGGCAAGGCCCUGCUUUUGUGGGGUGCUCGAGUGGCGAACGGGUGAGUAACACGUGAGUAACCUGCCCUUGACUUUGGGAUAACUUCAGGAAACUGGGGCUAAUAUCGGAUAGGAGCUCCUGCUGCAUGGUGGGGGUUGGAUAGUUUCGGCGGUUGGGGCUGGACUCGCGGCUUAUCAGCUUGUUGGUGGGGUAGUGGCUUACCAAGGCUUUGACGGGUAGCCGGCCUGGGAGGGUGACCGGCCACAUGGGGACUGAGAUACGGCCCAGACGCCAACGGGAGGCAGCGGGGGGGAGUAUUGCACAAUGAGCGGGAGCCUGAUACGACGACGCCGCGGGCGGAAUGACGGCCUGUGGGGUGUGAACCGCUGUCGCCUGAGACGAAGCUGGAGUGACGGUAAUGGAUAAAGAAGCACCGGCUAACUACGUG
rnacentral:rRNA from 1 species